ensembl:lncRNA
UUGUCUUAAUUGGAUGGUACAGGCUUUGAUCCCUGGCAGAUGAUGACUUUAUUAGGGAGGUCCCACAAUCUUUGUGUCCACUUUUACUACUCCACAAAAGCCUGUGAUUUCUCUUGCCAGAACCCAAGACAAUAAAAUUAUUCUAACGCUCAGCUCAUUCAGGCCACCGGUGCAAUUUGGAAUUCUUAUGCAAUAGAGUAAAUUCUGGAACAGUCAUUGUCAGUCACUGACACUUCCUGAAAGGACAUUAGUUUAAAAGAGAAGGGCAGUGUUCUCCAUUGUAGUCAACAGACUACAUUCCAGAGUCUCUCUCUUGUUUCAGAUCUUCCAUAAUUAACAUGGUAGCAGCAAGUGAGGAGGAAAAGGCAGUCUUAAAUCCAAGUAAACCUAAUGAUUCAAGGCCUGAAAAAUAAAUGGAGGAAAGAAAUGAGAGGGGAUGGCACUUUGGGUUAAAGACUUGCUUAGCUUUUUGAACAAAGAUGAAAGACCUGAACAACUCUGGAGACUAACAGGGCAUGCAUAGCGAUAGAGGAAGAUUGCCACAGCAAAAUCGUCUUUUUAUUUCAGAGGGAUGCAUCCUGUAAAACAUCCUAUUGUCCAUUUCUGAAAAGACCCCAAGACAAGAUGUUCACAAGUAUUCCACCCUUUCAAGAUCAGAGGACUGAGAUGAUGCCUCCUCAUUUAUGGAUUUAUUUAUCAUUUUUAUUGAAUUACUACUUCUCAGAAAUGGUAUGUGGUCAUAAAUCGUGAAAGAGUAUAAUCUUGAAAUAAUAAA